rnacentral:rRNA from 1 species
UACGGAGGGGGCUAGCGUUGUUCGGAAUUACUGGGCGUAAAGCGCACGUAGGCGGCUUUGUAAGUUAGAGGUGAAAGCCCGGAGCUCAACUCCGGAACUGCCUUUAAGACUGCAUCGCUUGAACGUCGGAGAGGUAAGUGGAAUUCCGAGUGUAGAGGUGAAAUUCGUAGAUAUUCGGAAGAACACCAGUGGCGAAGGCGGCUCACUGGCCCGGUACUGACGCUGAGGCGCGAAAGCGUGGGGAGCAAACAGG